GGCCCAUUCGUCUAGCGGCCCAGGACGCCACCCUCUCACGGUGGAGACCACCGGUUCGAAUCCGGUAUGGGUCACCA
rnacentral:tRNA from 1 species